rnacentral:lncRNA from 1 species
UUAUUUAUACUCUUUGCCUUUUAAUCUCAACCGUCCAUCAAGAUUAAAUCUGAACCGUCCAUCAAGAUUAAAUCUGAACCGUCCGAUCGCAAUUUAAUUGGAAUUAAAUCUGGGCUGUCCAUCGCGAUGCAAUCUUGGUCGUCCGUGCCUGAUUGAAUCUGGGUAGUCCGUACGCGUGAAUCUGGGCCGUCCGCGCGCACGUUUGAUCUGAGCCGUCCAUGUGCACAGGAACGGAUCUGGGCUGUCCGAUCGCGCGCACACGGAUCGCCCACGUGGCCCGUCCCGUGUCAGCGUUUCCUUGCCACGCGGCGUGUCCUGGUUGGCCAGGGCUGCUGACCGGACCGCUGACGUGGCUGUUGACGUGGCACAACUUUUUUAAUUUGCGUUUUGAN